CCUACGGGUGGCAGCAGUGGGGAAUAUUGCGCAAUGGGCGAAAGCCUGAUGCAGCGACGCUGCGUGAGGGAUGAAGGUCUUCGGAUCGUAAACCUCUGUCAGUAGGGAAGAACGGUCACUGUGUUAAUCAGUAGUGAAUCGACGGUACCUGCAAAGGAAGCACCGGCUAACUCCGUGCCAGCAGCCGCGGUAAUACGGAGGGUGCGUGCGUUAAUCGGAAUUACUGGGCGUAAAGCGCUCGUAGGCGGUAUGGUAAGUCAAGGGUGAAAUCCCCGCGCUCAACGUAGGGACUGCGUUUGGAACUGGCGAGCUGGAGUGUGUGAGAGGAUAGUGGAAUUCCAGGUGUAGGGGUGAAAUGCGUAGAUAUCAGGAAGAACAUCAGUGGCGAAGGCGGCUAUCUGGCACGUAACUGACGCUGAGGAGCGAAAGCGUGGGUAGCGAACAGGAUUAGAUACCCUUGUAGUC
rnacentral:rRNA from 1 species